rnacentral:rRNA from 1 species
UACGGGGGGUGCAAGCGUUGUCCGGAUUUACUGGGCGUAAAGGGCGCGUAGGCGGCGCGGUAAGUCACUUGUGAAAUCUCUGAGCUUAACUCAGAACGGCCAAGUGAUACUGCAGUGCUAGAGUGUGGAAGGGGCAAUCGGAAUUCUUGGUGUAGCGGUGAAAUGCGUAGAUAUCAAGAGGAACACCUGAGGUGAAGACGGGUUGCUGGGCCAACACUGACGCUGAUGCGCGAAAGCCAGGGGAGCAAACGGG